ACACUACUGAGGAGUCCCACAAUAGGACGAAACGACAGUCCAAUAU
rfam:Schistosoma haematobium scaffold314_18, whole genome shotgun sequence.